UAGUAGCUCAAACCCAAUCCCAGAAAAUCAACAAUUAUAACCCAUAUUAGAACUCAAGAACACCAACAAAAUUAAACCCAUUUCUUUCCUUUAUAAAACCAUAUGCAGAGACAAAAACUUUAACCCAUCAUACCUCCAACUUCUCCCUCAAACCAGAAAUGGAUCCCCUAUCUCUGUUACUAUUAUGCAGAGACAAAAAGACAUCCCUCCAUCUUCCACAAAACCACAACAGCCUUCACCCGUAGAUUUAUCUCCAUCGACGCCUUGCCAUCAUCCUCACGCCUAUACACAAGCCCAUUUAACCCAGCUCCAUCUCCUUUCUUUCGACACUCACAACUUCCUUAUUUGCAAUCAGCUCUCAGCUCUCCUCCCUAGCUCUAUCUCCAUCAGUGCAUCUAAUCUAGCAAUCUGUUCAUAUUCUUUGUUGUUGGUCUUUCUACGCCUUCUCUGCCCUCUUCCAUUUUCG
rnacentral:misc_RNA from 1 species